CCAGACUCCUACGGGAGGCAGCAGUGGGGAAUAUUGCACAAUGGGGGAAACCCUGAUGCAGCGACGCCGCGUGAGUGAAGAAGUAUUUCGGUACGUAAACUUCUAUCAGCAGGGAAGAAAAUGACGGUACCUGACCAAGAAGCCCCGGCUGACUACGUGCCAGCAGCCGCGGUAAUACGUAGGGGGCAAGCGUUAUCCGGAUUUACUGGGUGUAAAGGGAGCGUAGACGGCCAUGCAAGUCUGAUGUGAAAACCCGGGGCUCAACCCCGGGACUGCAUUGGAAACUGUGCGGCUGGAGUGUCGGAGAGGCAAGUGGAAUUCCUAGUGUAGCGGUGAAAUGCGUAGAUAUUAGGAGGAACACCAGUGGCGAAGGCGGCUUACUGGACCGUAACUGACGUUGAGGCUCGAAAGCGUGGGGAGCAAACAGGAUUAGAUACCCGGGUAUG
rnacentral:rRNA from 1 species